CCUACGGGAGGCAGCAGUGAGGAAUAUUGGUCAAUGGACGAGAGUCUGAACCAGCCAAGUAGCGUGAAGGAUGACUGCCCUAUGGGUUGUAAACUUCUUUUAUAUGGGAAUAAAAUGUUCCACGUGUGGGAUUUUGUAUGUACCAUAUGAAUAAGGAUCGGCUACCUCCGUGCCAGCAGCCGCGGUAAUACGGAGGAUCCGAGCGUUAUCCGGAUUUAUUGGGUUUAAAGGGAGCGUAGGUGGAUUGUUAAGUCAGUGGUGAAAGGUUGCGGCUCAACCGUAAAAUUGCAGUUGAAACUGGCAGUCUUGAGUACAGGAGAGGUGGGCGGAAUUCGUGGUGUAGCGGUGAAAUGCUUAGAUAUCACGAAGAACUCCGAUGGCGAAGGCAGCUCACUGGACUGCAACUGACACUGAGGCUCGAAAGUGUGGGUAUCAAACAGGAUUAGAUACCCGAGUAGUC
rnacentral:rRNA from 1 species